GAUGAACGCUAGCUACAGGCUUAACACAUGCAAGUCGAGGGGAAACGACAUCGAAAGCUUGCUUUUGAUGGGCGUCGACCGGCGCACGGGUGAGUAACGCGUAUCCAACCUGCCCAUCACUUGGGAAUAACCUUGCGAAAGUAAGACUAAUACCCAAUGACAUCCCACGAAGACAUCUGAAUGGGAUUAAAGAUUUAUCGGUGAUGGAUGGGGAUGCGUCUGAUUAGCUUGUUGGCGGGGUAACGGCCCACCAAGGCAACGAUCAGUAGGGGUUCUGAGAGGAAGGUCCCCCACAUUGGAACUGAGACACGGUCCAAACUCCUACGGGAGGCAGCAGUGAGGAAGAUUGGUCAAUGGGCGAGAGCCUGAACCAGCCAAGUAGCGUGCAGGAUGACGGCCCUAUGGGUUGUAAACUGCUUUUAUAAGGGAAUAAAGUGGGUCUCGGGAGACUUUUUGCAUGUACCUUAUGAAUAAGAACCGGCUAAUUCCGUG
rnacentral:rRNA from 1 species